rnacentral:rRNA from 1 species
CGCUCUCUGGAAAUAGUUUCUAUAUGUUAUAUUUUCUUGACAUAGAGAGUCGGACCUGCCCAGUGACUAUUGAAGAAUCGUUAAACGGCCGCGGUACUCUGACCGUGCAAAGGUAGCAUAAUCAUUUGCCUUUUAAUUGAAGGCUUGUAUGAAUGGUUUGACGAGAACUAAGCUGUCUCUUCUUAAAUAUAUAAAAAUUAAUUUAUAGGUGAAGAGGCCUAUAUUUAAUUGAGGGACAAGAAGACCCCAUUGAGCUUUAGUGAAUUAAUGGAAAAUUUAGUGACAUUUCGGAUGUUUAUGUAUUACUGCAUUAAUUGGAAGUAAUAUUCAUUAAUAAUCUUUAGUUGGGGCGACUAAGGAACAUGGAAAGCUUCCUUUAAAUUUCAAUUAUUUAUGUACAUCAAAUUAACAUAAAAUAGAUCCAGUAUUUACUGAUCAAAGGAAAAAGUUACCAUGGGGAUAACAGCGUAAUCUUUCUAGAGAGUUCUUAUCGAAGGAAGGGUUUGCGACCUCGAUGUUGGACUAAGAUAUCCUAGGGGUGUAGAAGUUCCUAAUGGUUAGUCUGUUCGACUAUUAAAAUCUU